CUCUCGCUCUCCCUAUCGCACGCUCUCCUUCUCCCUCUCUCUCUCUCCCUCUCCCUCUCACUCUCACGUGCUCUCCCUCUCCAUCUCCCUCCUUCUCUCUGCCUCUCCGGCCCUCUCCCUCUUGCGCGCUCUCCCUCUCCCUCUGCCUCUCCCUCUUCCUCUCCCUCUCCGCUCUCUCUCCUCUUACUCUUUGAAGUUUUAAGUGUUCCUUCAUCUCCACGGCGGAGAUCGGAGGAGUUGGUAAAAAACAAAAAAAAAAAAAAAAACACUAGCUCUCUUUCACUCGCUUUCUGUGAGAUCUCGAUCUUCCUUCGAUUCUAUCAUAAGCAGAAUUAAAAACUGGAAACGUGAAUAUAUACAGCAGUUCCUGAGAGAGAAGGUGAAGCCUGGUGCAUCAGCAAGCUAAGAUUUGAAUCUCAGGGAUAUGAGGUGCUGGACAGAGUUCCAUGAAAAAUCCAAAUCGGCAAAAAGUUUUUGAAUAGGUAAGCUGGGCUUGAAUCAGAGACCGAAUACCUCUCCACAGUCCACACAAACAUUUAAAUGCAGCACAAAUGCAUAUGGGGACAUCAUAGCUGUACAAAAAGGUAAGAGCAUCAGGCUGAUCCAUUCAUUAGAUGGGCCACACAUGUAAGAUUGCUGAUUAUUUUAAACAGAUAAUUGUUUUUGUGCGUGUGGCUACCAGAUGAAUGAACCUACCUAACUUUUAUCCCAGGUGAUCUUCACAAAUGGAUCCAACCUGAUUCACAGCUCAAA